rnacentral:tRNA from 2 species
GACACGAUGGCCGAGUGGUUAAGGCGUUAGACUUGAAAUCUAAUGGGUUCGCCCGCGUAGGUUCAAAUCCUGCUCGUGUCG